CCUCUUGCACUGAGAUGCAGUGCCUUAGACCGCUGUGCCACUCGGGAGCAAAAAACAAACAUAUUUUUGUUAAAUCCUGCCUACUCGAAUGACCCUGGUGCCAUGGCCCGAACUUGCAAGCUAGCUAACUUUACAGCCACCAGAAACAAACACAGAGCAGACAAAGUCAACAAGCUAGAUAACGUGUUUGCAGAUAAACUGCCCUUGUAGCAGGGACAAAAGAAACAAGUAUCGUUCUCCGUUCUGAAUCAACUCGAUCCCCAAAAGAUAAAAAGAAGCAAGAAAAAUAUGGCUCAUGCCCAAGCCGGAUAAACAUUGGAAUGAAUUUUGAAAGGUGGAGGAGUGAUACCAAAAUGGCCACCAUUCUCAUGGACUGGUAGGACCACCACUAGCUAUUCUCAGGGAGAUACUGGUGAAGAAAAUCUGAUUUAGAGGGAACCGGAGGCUGUACAAGUUGUGGUUGUGCAAACCCCAACACAGGAGGAGAGGAGAACUUGGACAUAGAUGAUGACGAACAUCCUAACCCUUCAACUACAUUACAUGCGUUGCCAUGGCUUUCCCACCUUUCACCCCCUACUAGUAGGUCCAAGCCAUCCUUUGCAUUAUAUGCCAAGAGUGUGCAAAGCUGUCAUCAAGGCUACUUUGAAGAAUCUCAAAUAUAAAUCAUAUUUUGAUUU